rnacentral:lncRNA from 1 species
CCUGGGUGACCGAUAGUGAAGUAGUACCGUGAGGGAAGGGUGAAAAGACCCCCAUCGGGGAUGAAAUAGAACAUGAAACCGUAAGCUCCCAAGCAGUGGGAGGAGGCUCAGCCCCUCUGACCGCGUGCCUGUUGAAGAAUGAGCCGGCGACUCAUAGGCAGUGGCUUGGUUAAGGAAACCACCGGAGCCGUAGCGAAAGCGAGUCUUCAUAGGGCAAUUGUCACUGNNNNN